GUUUUCACUCUUAAAGAAACCCACUGAGAUCCACGAUGACUAAUCACCAAGAAAGUAACCUUAACGUCCCAAAUGACCUAAGCUCUGCCCAAGAGGGGCAACAAUUCUCCUUUUCUAGUCCUACGACAUUAAACAACCAAACACCUGUUCCUCUUAAUCCUUCGCCAAGUUUGGCAGGGAAUACUCCCGCCGUUACCUUGUCUAACCAGGAUCUUCAAAACAUGGCUUUCCAGUUACAAAAUACCGCUCACUGGUUGGGGCAGAUAAUGCAACAGAGAGGCCUCAACACCCCAGUAAAUACACUCUCGGUUGUAGAGGAACCUCAGACCAAUGACCCCCGACCUGCACUUGACCGUCUUCAAACCAGCAGCCGCGAUACUGAAGAAAGAGGAAGAAAAGCCGGCGAAGAGGAAGGACCGGAGGCCCGAAUCCAUGCGAGGAGGGCGAGAGAGAUGAUAGAAAAUGAGGAGGUGGAUAACUAUUCCGCCGAAAUAACCGGGUGGACGGGAACUGAAGCAGAGGAGGAGGAGUACCACCUGGAGAAAAAACCCAGCCCAGAAGACGAGAAGGUGGACCAAAAGUUGAAGAAAUUGAGAGAACAGCUCCUCGCCGAGCUAGGUAAGAAAGACCAAAGCCAAACCUCUUUGCCUACUUCUUCCCCUUUCUCAAAGUGGGUGCAGCAAGAGACUGUCCCUAAGAAGUUUAUGAUGCCAUCAAUGGCGGCUUAUGAUGGAAUUGGUAACCCGAGGGAGCACGUCAUGAACUAUAAGACCUUCAUGGAGUUGCAAACUCUGUCUGAUGCCUUAAUGUGUAAAGUAUUUCCAACGACGCUCUCGGGACCAGCGCGGGCGUGGUUCAACAGCCUUGAGGCCUGAAGUAUCAGGAGUUUCGGAGACCUAGCCAUUCGCUUCAUCAGUCGAUUCAUAGCCGGGGUGCCAGCAGAGAGGAAGACGAGCUACUUGGAGACAGUAAGGCAGAGAGAGGGUGAAUCACUCAGAGAGUAUGUCGCUCGUUUCAAUACGGAGGCCCUGCAGAUUCCCGAUCUCGAUGAAGGAAGGGCGGUAGAAGCGAUGCAAAAGGGAACGACCUCUGCCGAGUUCUUCGGUUCCUUAAGCAGGAAGCCUCCGACCUCCCUGGCCGAGCUGAUACAGAGAGCGGAGAAGUAUAUAAGGCAGGACGAUGCCUUAGUAACAAGCCGAUUUGCCAAAAGGAUGACAGGAAAAGAAAAAGCCUCAGAAGAAAAGAGGCCGGAGAAACAUGAAAAGAAACACAGCAAGAGACCCGAGUCGUACAAGCAGGCCUGGGAGCGAAGGGAUCAAAGGCCUCCCCCUCCACGGGUCCCUGAAUCAAGAUUGCCUCCCCCUUGGGUCCCUGAGAAGCCAACUCCACUAAAUGCGUCCAGAGCCGAGGUGCUCAUGGCUGUCCAAGAUAAGGAAUUC
rnacentral:lncRNA from 1 species